rnacentral:rRNA from 1 species
CCUACGGGAGGCAGCAGUGGGGAAUAUUGGGCAAUGGAGGAAACUCUGACCCAGCGACGCCGCGUGCGGGAUGAAGGCCUUCGGGUUGUAAACCGCUUUCAGUAGGGAAGAAGCGAAAGUGACGGUACCUACAGAAGAAGCACCGGCUAACUAUGUGCCAGCAGCCGCGGUAAUACAUAGGGUGCAAGCGUUGUCCGGAAUUAUUGGGCGUAAAGAGCUCGUAGGUGGUUCGUCACGUCGGAUGUGAAAAUCUGGGGCUCAACCCCAGACCUGCAUUCGAUACGGGCGAUCUAGAGUGUGGUAGGGGAGACUGGAAUUCCUGGUGUAGCGGUGGAAUGCGCAGAUAUCAGGAGGAACACCAAUGGCGAAGGCAGGUCUCUGGGCCAUUACUGACACUGAGGAGCGAAAGCGUGGGGAGCGAACAGGAUUAGAUACCCUGGUAGUCCACGCCGUAAACGGUGGGCACUAGUUGUGGGAACCUUCCACGGUUUCUGCGACGCAGCUAACGCAUUAAGUGCCCCGCCUGGGGAGUACAAUCGCAAGAUUAAAACUCAAAGGAAUUGACGGCUGAGACGNGCGAGACGACGACGAGGGAGAGG